AUUGAACGCUGGCGGCAUGCCUUACACAUGCAAGUCGAACGGCAGCACGGGGCAACCUGGUGGCGAGUGGCGAACGGGUGAGUAAUGCAUCGGAACGUGCCAUUGAGUGGGGGAUAACGUAGCGAAAGUUGCGCUAAUACCGCAUAUUCUGUGAGCAGGAAAGCAGGGGACCGCAAGGCCUUGCGCUCUUUGAGCGGCCGAUGUCAGAUUAGCUAGUUGGUGAGGUAACGGCUUACCAAGGCGACGAUCUGUAGCGGGUCUGAGAGGAUGAUCCGCCACACUGGAACUGAGACACGGUCCAGACUCCUACGGGAGGCAGCAGUGGGGAAUUUUGGACAAUGGGGGGCAACCCUGAUCCAGCCAUUCCGCGUGAGUGAAGAAGGCCUCGGUUGUAAGACGUCUUUCUAGCAGGAACGAAACGGU
rnacentral:rRNA from 1 species